GCCUCCAUUUACUCUUCCAACAGAUACCCAACAGAGGCCGGCCACAGGCUUGGCCUUGCGCCCAGCAGUGAAGACACACCGAGAUGGGCAGUCCCUGACCUCGGGUGAGCGCGAACAGACACAUAGUAUGUGAAUCCUUGAGCAGGUACACGUUACUUUCAUCAUUUUGAAAAGAAGGACGCAGGUGGCUGGCGGCACCAGAUGCUGCGGAGUGCCACCGCAGCCACACCUGCCUCUCCAUCCUACCCCGGCCUGCGGUCUCACACGUGUAGGGAACCUUGCUUCCUGAGAGCGCAUCAAAAACCAGCAACAGGAGUGUGGACAAAACAAAAACAAAACACAAGGACUUGGGGGGAGGGCCUAGCUCAAGUGGUAGAGCUGCAUGCUUAGCACGCACGAGGUCCAUCCCCAGUGCCGCCUCUAAAUAUAACAAAUAAAUAAUAAGCCUAAUAACCUCCUCCCCCCAAAACACAGGGGCUGUAUCAAGAACAAAAUAAAGUCAGGAGGUCAGCGUUUAGAGGGCCACGGAUGUAGCUAUUAAAGUUCACCACGGCCCGAGUGCAUGUGUGCCAGGGGCGCUGGCUUGGAGCCUCCAAGGCCAGCAGAGUGCGGCCUCGUAGUGACCUGCAGUCUGCAGUGUCUAGUCUUCGGGUGGCAGUUGGACUUGGGUGGAAAGGGCGGCUGGGGAGGACAGCGGCUCAUUCAAACCCACCUGUCAGCGUGAGCAGCGUAAUGGCCGGACCCAGAAGAGGCAUCAAACAGGAGGAAAGGCGAUCUCUCUCCGGGUCAGCUGAGGGGCACUGCCAAGGUGUUACCAAGCCCAGGAAGAAGCUCCGAGGACUCGGCCAGUGGCCGGGGCGGGGGGUGGGGGGCACGCACAACACUGGAGGAGGAGAGGCAGGCCUGUUCGUUGUUCGGUCGCUGCCCAGGAAAC